rnacentral:lncRNA from 13 species
CCAUCAUUUCCCACAUUGUACCAGAAUUCAAGAAUUGAUUCUGACAAUAUGUAGGGACAAAAGAUAUUUCUUUUUCCCAGAAUAUUUUGAAAGAUGGCCAUGACACCGAAAGUUCAGCAAAUGUCAAGUGGGUGUUGUGUGGAACUGAGAGAGACCAAUCUCAAGAGAACAUCCGCCUUCAAUAAGUGGAACUCCAGAUUACACAAAGCUGCAGGCAUAAAAGCAGCUGCAAAGGAAGAAGAAGAAGGCUGGGAGUGUUCCGCCUGGAGAGGAGAAGGCUUGGAGGAAUCUCAUCAGUGUACAUAA